UACGUAGGGUGCGAGCGUUAAUCGGAAUUACUGGGCGUAAAGCGUGCGCAGGCGGUGAUGUAAGACCGAUGUGAAAUCCCCGGGCUUAACCUGGGAACUGCAUUGGUGGCUGCAUUGCUGGAGUAUGGCAGAGGGGGGUGGAAUUCCACGUGUAGCAGUGAAAUGCGUAGAGAUGUGGAGGAACACCGAUGGCGAAGGCAGCCCCCUGGGCCAAUACUGACGCUCAUGCACGAAAGCGUGGGGAGCAAACAGG
rnacentral:rRNA from 1 species